rnacentral:rRNA from 1 species
AACGAACGCUGGCGGCAUGCCUAACACAUGCAAGUCGAACGGUGCCUUCGGGCACAGUGGCGCACGGGUGAGUAACACGUGGGAACCUGCCUUUCGGUUCGGAACAACGUCUGGAAACGGACGCUAACGCCGGAUACGCCCAUCCAGCGAUGGUUGGGGAAAGUUUACGCCGAGAGAGGGGCCCGCGCCGGAUUAGGUAGUUGGUGGGGUAACGGCCUACCAAGCCGACGAUCCGUAGCUGGUCUGAGAGGAUGAUCAGCCACACUGGGACUGAGACACGGCCCAGACUCCUACGGGAGGCAGCAGUGGGGAAUAUUGGACAAUGGGCGCAAGCCUGAUCCAGCCAUGCCGCGUGAGUGAUGAAGGCCUUAGGGUUGUAAAGACUCUUUCGCACGCGACGAUGAUGACGGUAGCGUGAGAAGAAGCCCCGGCUAACUUCGUGCCAGCAGCCGCGGUAAGUACUGACUCA